GUAAUGAUGGCCAGGCUGUCUCCACCCGAGACUCAGUGAAAUUGAACUCGCUGUGAAGAUGCAGUGUACCCGCGGCAAGACGGAAAGACCCCGUGAACCUUUACUAUAGCUUGACACUGAACAUUGAGCCUUGAUGUGUAGGAUAGGUGGGAGGCUUUGAAGUGUGGACGCCAGUCUGCAUGGAGCCGACCUUGAAAUACCACCCUUUAAUGUUUGAUGUUCUAACGUGGACCCGUAAUCCGGGUUGCGGACAGUGUCUGGUGGGUAGUUUGACUGGGGCGGUCUCCUCCUAAAGAGUAACGGAGGAGCACGAAGGUUGGCUAAUCCUGGUCGGACAUCAGGAGGUUAGUGCAAUGGCAUAAGCCAGCUUGACUGCGAGCGUGACGGCGCGAGCAGGUGCGAAAGCAGGUCAUAGUGAUCCGGUGGUUCUGAAUGGAAGGGCCAUCGCUCAACGGAUAAAAGGUACUCCGGGGAUAACAGGCUGAUACCGCCCAAGAGUUCAUAUCGACGGCGGUGUUUGGCACCUCGAUGUCGGCUCAUCACAUCCUGGGGCUGAAGUAGGUCCCAAGGGUAUGGCUGUUCGCCAUUUAAAGUGGUACGCGAGCUGGGUUUAGAACGUCGUGAGACAGUUCGGUCCCUAUCUGCCGUGGGCGCUGGAGAACUGAGGGGGGCUGCUCCUAGUACGAGAGGACCGGAGUGGACGCAUCACUGGUGUUCGGGUUGUCAUGCCAAUGGCACUGCCCGGUAGCUAAAUGCGGAAGAGAUAAGUGCUGAAAGCAUCUAAGCACGAAACUUGCCCCGAGAUGAGUUCUCCCUGAGACUUAGAGUCUCCUGAAGGAACGUUGAAGACGACGACGUUGAUAGGCCGGGUGUGUAAGCGCAGCGAUGCGUUGAGCUAACCGGUACUAAUGAACCGUGAGGCUUAACCUUAC
rnacentral:rRNA from 1 species